rnacentral:rRNA from 1 species
UUUCCCUCAGGAUAGCUGGCACUCGCUUGAGCGAGUCUCAUCUGGUAAAGCGAAUGAUUAGAGGCCUUGGGGCCGAAACGACCUCAACCUAUUCUCAAACUUUAAAUGGGUGAGAUCUCUGGCUUGCUUGAACGUUGAAGCCACGAGAUAAUUUUUCAAUGGAUCAGAGUGCCAAGUGGGCCAAUUUUGGUAAGCAGAACUGGCGCUGUGGGA